AACAUAAUCAUGUCGUGUCU
rnacentral:snRNA from 1 species